rnacentral:rRNA from 1 species
UACAGAGGGUGCGAGCGUUGUCCGGAAUCACUGGGCGUAAGGGGCGCGUAGGCGGCUUGAUAAGCGUGCGGUGAAAGCCCGGGGCUCAACCCCGGGUCGGCCGUGCGAACUGUCGAGCUGGAGCACUGUAGAGGCAGGUGGAAUUCCGGGUGUAGCGGUGGAAUGCGUAGAGAUCCGGAAGAACACCGGUGGCGAAGGCGGCAUCCUGGACCAACACUGACACUGAGGAGCGAAAGCCAGGGGAGCAAACGGG